rnacentral:lncRNA from 1 species
GUUCUCGCCUCAGUGAGGACGCGGCAGCCCCUGCGCGACCCUCAUCUGCAUAGACCACGCCCCCGAGUCGCACCCAAGGGUGACAUCACACCCCUCCCUUGGUCCGGUCGGUUUGUUGGACUUUCUUGCUCUAGGAGAGCUGGAUGGAGCGUUGCAGGGCCGGACACAAAUCGCCCUGAGUUAUCUCAAAGCCCUAAAGAGCCGUUGGUCACCCACCCCGAUGGCCUGACAGCCUUGUCACCGGCGUUGCUGUGAACGAGGUCGUCAGGCAGCACGGGAGCCAGCCCUGAGCACUCAGAGAGAGGUCUCCCCGCUUCGCUAGAACCUCACUGCCUCACGUCGCCACCACUGGAUUUUACAGGGCUCUUGGUGUUUUUGUUGGCACCCAGCUCCCAUGGGGUCUCUAAGAGUUGUUUUCCAACAUAACCACAGUUACCUCCUGUUUUAUUGACUUUACCCAACUGGGAUCAAUAUCCUGUUGUGAACCCUUUGACCUGGGGUUUUUGUAAGUUUGUAUAUAAGGGUGCUCCACAAUAAAGGAGAGGCAUUCUCUCAGAAAGGAACCAGGAGUCUUGUGGUUCAUCCAAAUCUCUAGGCCUUCACCCAAUACUCAGACUUAGUGGCCAAGAGCAGCCACAAAUGGAGGUUCCACCGAGAUAGGGGAAGAAAGAGGACCCUGAGAGAGCACCCUCAGAAAGCUGGAAAGCAAGUAAGGAGUUGUGAGGGUGGAUUACAAAAGGUAUUAGAAAAUAGAUACCUCAACUCCUAAGAAAGUUGGAUUGUAAAGGCACUAGAAAAGGGGUGCCUCGACUCCAAAGACAGUUGUACUACAAAGGCACUGGAAAAGGGGUGCCUCAACUCCAAAGAGAGUUGGAUUGGAAUAGAGAUCAUAGUCAAUCAUACAGAGAAGUUUAAAGAGACAAGGUACUGGUAAGAUCUCAUUUCAACUUUGGAUUAAGUAAUAAUGCUAAGAAAAUUAUUAAAGAAAUACGGGAAAUCAUCCUCUGAGAAAUUCCUCCCCUGUGAGCUGUGCACCAGCAGCCAGCUGACCCAGCAGCCCGUGCUUUUGUCCACUCAAGCCUGCUGCAGGCUCCAGUCAGCCAGCAAUGAUGUAGUAUGCACAGGCUGCCUGGAGAAAUUGCCUCCUGAGAAAAAGUUGGGGCGCUAUGCUUGGAAGAACCCUGACCUUCAACAAACCAGAGCUCCAAAAGAGGUUUAUAUUUGAUAUCAUCACCAAUGAGCACACCUUCUACCUUUUGGCUGAGACAGAGGCUGGCAUGAAUAGGUGGGUCCAGAGCAUCUGCCAGAUCUGCAGCUGCAGUCAGACUAAAGAGAGCACUGAUGCCCAGAGAAACCUUUCUGCAGUCAGUCAUAGUCUCCACUCUUCUCCAGCUGAAUUCAGCAGCUCCAGUCAUCACCUGCUCUGAGCAAGAAAGUCCUCAGCCCUUUCACACUCUAGCCAGCUACCUGUUCCAAGACACAUCCAGCCUACCUUGUCCACCUGUGCACCUCAGGAGUAUCAACAGUUGCACCAAUGCAUAAAAUGCAAGCAAUGCCAGCUUCUCUGAGAGCACCGGACAGAAGAGUGAUACAGCUGCACAAAAACUUGCCCAGGGCAAUAGACACUGUACAACACUGUUACACCUGCCACCAAGUCUUUGUCCACGGUCAACCACACCUUUAACUCCAGUUUCUCUCAGUACUGUCGUUCCAUCUCCAAUACAGACUCCAGAGACAGUGAGGAGAACUAUGUCCCUAUGUAGAACCCAAUGUCUUCAUCCCCUGUAUCCAGUGGCACUAAACAGCCAAGCUCCAAAAAAGAGUACUGGCAAUGUGAAUUACAUAGCCCUGGACUUACAGCUGGUCUCCCGGAGCCCUCAUCGCAAGCCAUCCACAUCAUCUGUCGCAUUGGAUGAGAAAGGAGAAUAUGUCCAAAUAGAUAAAGAAAAGACCUAGGCCCUACAAAUACCAUACAGGAAUGGACAAAGAUGCAGUAGUCUUCAAGACCCUCCAAAGAUGCCAAGCUAUGGUAAGGAUGGCCAUCCCUGACACCUCCUCUCCUUUGUGAGUUUUGUCUGUAUGUAUGGUGUGGCCAGAUAUGUGUGUAUGAAGUGUGAUUGUAAAUGUGUGAUUGUUAACAAAAGAAUGCUAUUGUGUUGUCUUUGAAUUGUUUAAUUGCUGGGGGAAGGAGCAACAGUUGUUAAAGUACAGGAUACUUGGGAGGGAAAUUUCUGCUUUUAUUCCCAUGGAGGGUGAAGAGUUGGUAUGGUACCAGGCUUCCAGAGUGGUAUGGUUUCAUGGGGUAGGACCCCCUGAAGCAGUGGCCCAGGUGAUCCAAAUAUUUGUUUUCAUUUAACUUUGGUCAGUUAGAAAUGGUAGUGGCCACAGUCAAUCACUUUUAAAAGGAAAAAGGAGGAUU